GUUAUUGAGUCAGUUCGUGAUGAAGACGACAAGAUCAAACCAUCAGACUAAACUUAGUGAUCCAGUACAGUCUCGGUACCAAAUUUUAAGUUGUCUAGAUUAAGAAGAAGAGCUGCCUAUUAAAGACAUCGGGGAUAAAGCAGUUUUGGUUUUGGCUGCGGGGCUGGGCAAAAUCUUACUGCCUAAUUUAUGUAUCUUGAGUUUUUUAAAGGGUGAAAGAGUGUCCCUUAGAGGUCUUGCCUGCAAAGAGGUGCUUCUCUCUCCCUCCCCUCCCAUUAGGAUGCCCUGCAUUGCCUACACGAGACUACACACAGGAGGAAGAAAUGGGAAGCAGUGAGCUGGAGAAAUAUGAACUAGCAAGGGAAAAACAGAUACAUGCAUUUCUUUCAGACACAGAACAUAGAACAAGAUAGACCUGAUCUCUAAAUAGCACCAGGAAAUAAUACAGUAAAAAAUUACAUCCAUUACACUCAUCUCCUUUCCCCUAACUAAGAAACUCAGACAGAUGAUGCUCUUUUGUGAGCAGCUAGCAGAAUGAUUUUAAAAAACAGGGCCGAUUGGCUUUGGGGGUCUUUAGCUACUCCAGCAGUUUUGAAGAAAGUGAUUAACCAGGGCACAGCGUGCUCGGUGAGUGUGGCACCGGUGUUUUCUCAUGCAGCAGUAAAGAAAGCAGCUUCCCGGGUGGCAUUGCCACUGUCAGCUCCAACCGAGAGAAAGGAACUGCUGGGGAGUGUGGAGGUGGUGGGCAGUGCCAAGGAGGGAGAUACAGGGUUUGUAAGCCUCAGGAAGGAAAACAUACACCUGAAGGCGAAGGACUUGAAGACAGCAGGCUUUCAUGAACAGAGGAUACUAGCAGGUGUACGCGGUCAGGAUCCACCAGUGUUUAGUUUCUCUUGUAGAGGUGAUGUGAAACUUAGAAACUAAUUAAUGCCAGUCACCAGUGCUCCUCCUUGGUAUUCAGUGUAGACUUCAGGAAGUACCCACCAGCUCUUGGUAAUUCUGUCCCUGGUAAGUUAUCACAACCAUUUGACACAAGCUUUCCAACAUCUCCCACUCCCUUUACUAUCGUAGGAUGUGAUUUAUCAUUGCAGUCCAGGUGAUCCGACAACUUUUAAGAGUACUAAUUGCCUUAUUAUCCACUCCGGUGCAAGAGUAAAACCUUUUGACAUUUUACUUCCUUCCCUGAGGAAAACAAAUCCUGCUUCCUGGGACAUUACCUUCUGCUGCCUCUGUGAUUACUGGGGCGAAGAAUUUCUCUAGGCCAUUUGCCUUAUCAGCCUCAUCUGUCACCAACUUGCCAGUCCCUGCUCUCAGUGCUCCCUCAGUGCUUUGCAUCCUCCAUUAUUUCAUGUAUUUCUGUAUUUUUUUCCUUUUCUUUUUUAUUUGUCAUGUCAAUGUUCAUCACAUAUUCCAUUCCUUUUUUUCUAUCAAUGUGCUUUUUCACAUCAGGCUCUGU
rnacentral:lncRNA from 1 species